AUUGAACGCUGGCGGCAUGCUUUACACAUGCAAGUCGAACGGCAGCACGGGUGCUUGCACCUGGUGGCGAGUGGCGAACGGGUGAGUAAUACAUCGGAACAUGUCCUGUAGUGGGGGAUAGCCCGGCGAAAGCCGGAUUAAUACCGCAUACGAUCUACGGCUGAAAGCGGGGGACCGUCGGGCCUCGCGCUAUAGGGUUGGCCGAUGGCUGAUUAGCUAGUUGGUGGGGUAAAGGCCUACCAAGGCGACGAUCAGUAGCUGGUCUGAGAGGACGACCAGCCACACUGAGACUGAGACACGGCACUGGCUCUGAGGGGAGGCAGCGGUGGGGACGUUUGGAAGAUGGGCGGAAUACUGAUCCAGCAAUGCCGCGUGUAUGAAGCAGGCCUUCGGGUUGUAAAACACUUUUGUCCGGAAAGACAUCCUUGGCCCUAAUACGGUCGUGGGAUGACGGUACCGGAAGAAUAAGCACCGGCUAACUACGUG
rnacentral:rRNA from 1 species